rnacentral:tRNA from 1 species
GCCAGUAUGGCGUAGUGGUUUGAGUGUUGGUUUAUGACUCUGGAGAUCAGGGUUCAAUCCCCAGCUCAGCCA